UAGGGAAUAUUGGACAAUGGGGGCAACCCUGAUCCAGCCAUGCCGCGUGAGUGAAGAAGGCCCUCGGGUUGUAAAGCUCUUUUGUCCGGAAAGAAAAGCAUUCGGUGAAUACCCGGAUGUUCUGACGGUACCGGAAGAAUAAGCACCGGCUAACUUCGUGCCAGCAGCCGCGGUAAUACGAAGGGUGCAAGCGUUACUCGGAAUUAAUGGGCGUAAAGCGUGCGUAGGUGGUUGUUUAAGUCUGAUGUGAAAGCCCUGGGCUCAACCUGUGAAUGGCCUGUGAAACUGGGCAGCUAGAGUGCGGUAGAGGGUAGUGGAAUUCCCGGUGUAGCAGUGAAAUGCGUAGAGAUCGGGAGGAACAUCUGUGGCGAAGGCGACUGCCUGGACCAGCACUGACACUGAGGCACGAAAGCGUGGGGAGCAAACA
rnacentral:rRNA from 1 species